UACGUAGGGUGCAAGCGUUAAUCGGACUUACUGGGCGUAAAGCGUGCGCCGGCGGUAAUGUAAGACAGUUGUGAAAUCCCCGGGCUCAACCUGGGAACUGCAUCUGGGACUGCAUUGCUGGAGUACGGCAGAGGGGGAUGGAAUUCCGCGUGUAGCAGUGAAAUGCGUAGAUAUGCGGAGGAACACCGAUGGCGAAGGCAAUCCCCUGGGCCUGUACUGACGCUCAUGCACGAAAGCGUGGGGAGCAAACAGG
rnacentral:rRNA from 1 species